AGAACGAACGCUGGCGGCAGGCCUAACACAUGCAAGUCGAGCGAUUGCAGCAAUGCAGGAGCGGCAGACGGGUGCGGAACACGUGGGAACAUACCCUUUGGUUUGGAAUAACUCAGGGAAACUUGAGCUAAUACCGGAUAAGCCCGCAAGGGGAAAGAUUUAUCGCCGAAGGAUUGGCCCGCGUCCGAUUAGCUAGUUGGUGAGGUAAUGGCUCACCAAGGCGACGAUCGGUAGCUGGUCUGAGAGGAUGAUCAGCCACAUUGGGACUGAGACACAGCCCAAACUCCUACGGGAGGCAGCAGUGGGGAAUAUUGGACAAUGGGCGCAAGCCUGAUCCAGCCAUGCCGCGUGAGUGAUGACGGCCUUAGGGUUGUAAAGCUCUUUCACCCACGGCGAUAAUGACGGUAGUGGGAGAAGAAGCCCCGGCUAACUUCGUGCCAGCAGCCGCGGUAAUACGAAGGGGGCUAGCGUUGCUCGGAAUGACUGGGCGUAAAGGGCGCGUAGGCGGCCUACACAGUCAGAUGCGAAAUUCCUGGGCUCAACCUGGGGACUGCAUUUGAUACGUGUAAGCUUGAGUGGAGAAGAGGGUCGUGGAAUUUCCAGUGUAGAGGUGAAAUUCGUAGAUAUUGGAAAGAACACCGGUGGCGAAG
rnacentral:rRNA from 1 species